AGAUAAGAAACCUGGUGAGUUUGGCGUUACCCAUCCAGGUGAAUGCAAAGCACACCAGGAAAGGAGAGCUCAGAGGACAUCAGGACUAGCGUAGUGAGAGCUCAUCAGUCUGGGGAAGGCUAUAAAAUAAUCUCAAAAAGAUUUGAGCUCCAUCAGUCCACCGUGAGGCAAAUCAUUUACAAAAAUGGAGAGUAUUUAACAUGAUAGCAACUCAGCUUAGAAGUGGACGCCCUUCCAAAAUAUCGCCAAGAGCCACAAGAACAAUAAUAAAUCAGGUAAAAGCCAACCUAAACAUAACAUCUAGAGAUUUGCAGACCACCCUUGCUGCAUCUCAGAGACCAUCGGGACAAACCUGAAGGUUUCUGGAAGUCCAUUCUCUGGACCGAUGAGUCCAAAAUUGGUCACAAUCCUUAUUGUCACAAUCAACACCGCUAUGUUUGGCAAAAACCCAACUCUGCCUACCACCAAAAUAACCUUAUCCCAACAGUCAAGCAUGGUGGUGGGAAUGUAAAGAUAUGGUGCUGCUUUUCCUCCUCAGGACCUGGACGACUCCACAUAGUCAAGGGAAUUCUGAGGUAUACCAGGAGAUUCUUGAACAGAACAUCAUGCCAUCAGUCAAGGAGCUAAAGCUGGGCCGAAAAUGGUCUUGCAACAAGACAACGACACAAAGCAUUCAAGCAAAUCAACCAAAGAAUGGCUCAGGAGAAAGAAGACUUGUUUUGGAUUGGACAAGUCAAAGUCCUGACCUAAAACCAAUUUAGAGGCUGUUGCAGGACCUGAAGCAGGCAGUUCAUGCCAGACAACCCUCGAACCUCACUCAAUUGGCUAAGUUCUGGAGGAGCGGGAAAAAAAUCCCUCAAAACAGAUGUCAGAGACUGAUUACUGGCUAUAGGAGACGUUUACUCCAAGUUAUCGCUGCUAUUGACCUAGGGGGUUCACAUUUUUUCACAUUUCAAAUCUGAGUUUGACCAAUAAACCACUUGUUAAAUAAACAAUGAAAAUAUAUUUUGUUUCUGUCAUUUACUUGGAAUAUAGUUAUUACGAAUUGG
rnacentral:lncRNA from 1 species